ensembl:snoRNA
UGGGUCGAUGCUGACCACUGGUGCCGUAUGAGUCAGAGGCAAUGAAUAUGUGCUAGAACUCUGGGGUCCAA